UACGGGGGGGGCAAGCGUUGUUCGGAAUUACUGGGCGUAAAGGGCUCGUAGGUGGCCAACUAAGUCAGACGUGAAAUCCCUCGGCUUAACCGGGGAACUGCGUCUGAUACUGGAUGGCUUGAGUUUGGGAGAGGGACGCGGAAUUCCAGGUGUAGCGGUGAAAUGCGUAGAUAUCUGGAGGAACACCGGUGGCGAAGGCG
rnacentral:rRNA from 1 species